rnacentral:rRNA from 1 species
AGAGAGAGACAUGCGCGCAUAUCAAUAAGCGGAGGAAAAGAAACUAACUAGGAUUCCCUCAGUAACGGCGAGUGAAGCGGGAAGAGCUCAAAUUUGAAAUCUUCAAGGUUCUACCUUGACGAAUUGUAGUUUAAAGAAGUGUUUUCUGUUGGAGUUUUGGUAAAAGUUCUUUGGAAUAGGACAUCAUAGAGGGUGAGAAUCCCGUAUUUGACCAUUAUUUCCAACUUUGUGAUACACUUUCAAAGAGUCGGAUUGUUUGGGAAUGCAGUCCAAAAUGGGUGGUAAAUUUCAUCUAAAGCUAAAUACUGGCGAGAGACCGAUAGCGAACAAGUACCGUGAGGGAAAGAUGAAAAGAACUUUGAAAAGAGAGUUAAACAGUACGUGAAAUUGUCAAAAGGGAAGCGUUUGACACCAGUGUUGUUUUCUCGAAAAUCAAUUAAAAAUGGUGGGAUUUUGUGUUGUAUUGACUUUAUCAGCUUUCUGCACUUUUUUCCUUAUCUUUUUUAAUGCACUUUUCGUUUAACAAGUCAACAUCAAUUUCUUUUGUUGUAAAAGGGUCAUUGGAAGGUGGCUUUCCUUUCGGAUGAAAGUGUUUAUAGCCUUUGGACUUCUGCAAUCGGAGAGAUUGAGGUCUGCAGCGUAGAUCCUUCGGGGUUAGAUACAUUUGUGCUAAGUUAUAGCUUUUCAUAGACAACAUGUUGACUAUGAUUAAGUCAUGUAGCUUACUCGCUUAUGCUAUUUUACCUACGCUUAGGAUGUUGACAGCAGUAUAGACUG